UACGAAGGUGGCAAGCGUUGUUCGGAUUCACUGGGCGUACAGGGUGUGUAGGCGGUUUGGUAAGCCUUCUGUUAAAGCUUCGGGCCCAACCCGGAAAGCGCAGAGGGUACUGCCAGGCUAGAGGGCGGGAGAGGAGCGCGGAAUUCCCCGGUGUAGCGGUGAAAUGCGUAGAGAUCGGGAGGAAGGCCGGUGGCGAAGGCGGCGCUCUGGAACGUACCUGACGCUGAGACACGAAAACGUGGGGGAGCAAAACAGGG
rnacentral:rRNA from 1 species